CUUUACCAUUUUUGAGUGUGUUAAACGCAUUUCCAUUCUUUGCAUCCACCACCAUCAUCUUUCUCCCAAACCUUUUUCAUCUUGCAAAGUGGAAACUCACUUUUCACAUAAAAACACUUCUCUGGGGUUAGGGGUUAUGGCUCAGUGGUAGAGGGCUCGCCAACACAUGUGAGGUGCUGUGUUCGAUCCUCAGCACUACAUAAAAAUAAAGAAAUAAAAUAAAGGUGUAAAAAGAAAAAAAAAGAAAAACCACUUCUCUGUUCCCUUCCUCCCCGCUGGUUGGUGGCCCUUCCAUUUUCCAUCUCUUGGAAUUUGACUAUCCUGUGUAACUCUUCCAAUCUGAAACAUGCAGUAAUUGUCAUUUUGUUACUGGUUUAUCUCACUUAGCAAUAAGUGUUCAAUUCUGUUGUAGCCUAUCAGAAUUUCCUUCUUUCUUUAGGAGGCAUAAUAUUUCAUAUCAUUCCAUUCCAUGUGUAGACAACACAUUUUUUCAGCCAUUUAUUCAUUACUGGAUGUUGGACCAUUUCCACUUUUGGCUAUUGUGAAUGGUUCUCCUAUAAGUGAGGACAUACACACAUGUCUUAGACACAACUGGCUUUUUCUUCUGGCUUUCUUGACAGGUCGUAUCAGGACACCCAGUGAACUCUCAUCAUGUCUUCUCUCCCAUCUGAAAUAAGUGCCAAGAAGUUCAGAAACAGGAUGUCAUCCCAGGAGUCAACCUUGAUACAUUUCAUCAAGUUAGCAUUGAUGUUGAUCAAAGCAUUUCCCCAUAUAUAUAAUUUAUAUACAAGCAGAAAAACAAUUAAGAACUGUGAAUUUAUUUUGAGAUGCUAUCAAAGGUAGUACCCACCCAUAUUUCAUCAUUCAUCAGAAACAUAUUCUGAAUUUCUUGAGAGUUUUAUAUAUUUUUUAUGUGAUAUACUCUUAAUGAUCUUCAAAUGGUGGAACAAAAUUGUGUGUCCGUAACUUACCUGUUUUGCAUGUAAUAUAUACACAUGGCUUCAGUUUUUAAAUGUUUUGUUUUGGGUUUUACAUUUAUGUUCACUUAAUUCUUAGAGUGUUCUGUUCAGAUUUUGGUAUGAAGGAUUUUUUUUACUACACAAAAUGAGAUUAAAAAU
rnacentral:lncRNA from 1 species